CCGGGUGGCGACCGGCGCACGGGUGAGUAACGCGUAUGCAACUUACCUAGUCGGGAGGGGGACUAACCCGGCGAAAGUCGGACUAAUACCGCAUGAAGCAGGGGCCCCGCAUGGGGAUAUUUGCUAAAGAUUCAUCGCUGAUAGAUAGGCAUGCGUUCCAUUAGGCAGUUGGCGGGGUAACGGCCCACCAAACCGACGAUGGAUAGGGGUUCUGAGAGGAAGGUCCCCCACAUUGGUACUGAGACACGGACCAAACUCCUACGGGAGGCAGCAG
rnacentral:rRNA from 1 species